rnacentral:rRNA from 1 species
AUUGAACGCUGGCGGCAGGCCUAACCCAUGCAAGUCGGGCGAGCGGCGGACGGGUGAGUAAUGUAUGGGGACUGCCUGAUGGCGGGGGAUAACUACUGGAAACGGUAGCUAAUACCGCAUACCCUCCGAUGACCCAUAGGGCAUUAGCUUGUAGGUGAGGUAACGUCUCACCUAGGCGACGAUCCCUAUCUGGUCUGAGAGGAUGAUCACCACACCUGGGACUGAGACACGGUCUAGAUUCCUUUGGAGUGCGCAGUGGGGAAGAUUGCACUAUGGGCGCAUGUCUGAUGCAGCCAUGCUGGUUGUAUGAAGACGGCCUGUGGGUUGUAAAGUACUUUCAAUCGUGAGGCGUUACUGACAGAAGAAGCACCGGCUAACCGCGUGCCAGCAGCCGCGGUAAUAC